GGGCAGCGCCAUGAUGGAGCAGGGCAGCGCUGUGACAGAGCAGACGGGGGACACGGCCCCCCCAGCCCCAGCCACCCCUUCUUCAUUUGCUGAGCUGCUGCAGCUGGUGCAGAGGGGCCAGGCCCCAGCCGGGGUGCGGUGCCCCAAUGCCUCACCCACAAACGACAGCCCCACAGCCUCCCGCCUCCCGCGGCCACCCAAGCCCUGGGAGAGCCGCCCAGGCCAGCCCUGAGCCGCUCCGGCAGGCAGGAGGCCCAGUCUGCCCCCCCUGGAUGCCCUUGGAUCCCCCAGGAGGACGCAGUAAGGCUGGCUGCAGCCAUAGCUUUAAAUGCUUUUUUUUUUUUUUUUUUUUUUUUUUUAAGAAACAUAUAAAGAACUCUUAACAAGAAGUAUAAAAAUCUCCUUGCUGCCAUCCAGACGAGGCUCAUACUUAAGGAGAGGCCACAGCCACCACUGGGACUUGGGGACAUAGUCUGCCCCAGGGCUGAGAACCUGCCUGUGGCCGUGCACCCCUGCGACCUGAGGAGCGCUGGAGCCAAGCUGCUGCCAGCUCUCACCGAACAAAAAACUCUCACCGCUUUCAAGCCGGUGGCCCAUAGGAACAGUGAUCCUGCUUGAUUUCCACACACGUUGCAAGAGCAAUCUUUUACAACGUGCAAACAAACACCAAUGGGACCGCAUUUCUGUGCCAUGCGGCUUCACCCCAUCACAACACAAACAUGAAAUUAACCUUGUAACUGUUUGACAAACCUGAGAACUUAACCCUUGAAACCCAUAGGGGGCAAAGGCAGGACUAAGGCGUGCUUCCUCCCUCUCACUGCAGGAUUACUGCUCCAGCGUGAGCCUCAGCUUGAUGUUCAUGGCUGCCAGCUCUGCCAGGAAGUAGCGGAAGACGUGGGGCACUGGGAUGAUCUGGAUGGUGUCCAUCCUGCCACAGAGCAUGCAGGAGUACCUCCUGCUGCUUGCCACGGAGGAAGGAGGUGGGCGCUGGAGCAGAGGAGACAACAUGCUGCCGCAGCUCGUGCAGACAUAGGCUUCGCAGCCAUCAGAGCAGCUGAACAGACGGUCGUGCAGCAGGAAGGAGGUGCCAUGAGCCAGCAACGCAUCACGCUCCAUCUCACCAAAGCGAAUCCCCCCUUCCACGUUCCUCCCCUUGAUGGGCUGGUUGGUGACAGAGUCCCGGGGGCCCGUUGUCCUCACCUGGAACUUGUCGGAGACCAUGUGGCGCAGGCGCUGGUAGUACACGACUCCCACAAAGAUGUCUGCCUCCAGCUCCACGCCGCUGAUUCCACUGUACAUCUUCUCUGUCCCAAAGAAGUUAUAGCCCGCGCUCACCAAAGUCUCACCAAAGUACUUCAAGGCGGAGUUCUUCUCCGUGAAGGUGAAGGGAGUGGCAUCGUAGUAGGCGCCGUGCAGUGCUGCUGACUUCCCCGCCAUGCUCUCAAUUAACAUCCCGAUGGUCAUACGGGAGGGGAACCCAUGGGGGUUGAAGAGGAUGUCUGGAACCAUCCCAUUCUCUGUGAAUGGCAUGUCUUCAACAGGCCAGAGCUGGCUCAGGAUGCCCUUCUGCCCAUGGCGGCUGGCAAAUUUGUCUCCAACAGUUGGGUUUCGAGGAACUCUCACGGUGAUGCAAGCCUUCUUGAAUUUCCCAGUGCCACGGUCAUUACUGCACAGCUUGAUGUUGUCUACAAUGCCCACUUCUUUAUUCCUGCGUAGGUGGAAAAACAUUCACAGCAAAGGUAUCAGAUGCGCUCAUGACUCAGGUAGGAAAUGAAGCAAAGAAACCAAACCACUUUUAAGUCUAAUGAAGAGCUGGGGAUCACCACAUUUUUUGAAGAAUAUCGUUCAGGGAAAUCAGACUGCAUAAGAAUUAGAGCACAGCAGCCAAACAAAGGUAUCACCCAAGUGCCAUUUGUUUGCUGUUUCUAAUGCUAGCAGCACAGCUGCAAAUUCCAUGCGAUGAGGUAACGCAUCACCCAUGAUAAUAAAGUAAAAACUAUUUAAACCUGGUUCAUCAGUACCACAUCCAAUUGGACAUGCCAGUUGUUUUGCUUCAAGGCAGCAUUUUCCUAAGCAAUAAAUUAACACUGUCCCGGUGGGAUGCUAGCAUAAAUGAACAGGAUCAGGGCAAAGCUGAGAGGAAAUCUCAGGAGCAGAGAGCAAAGGCACAGGGGGAGCUGAGUGGGCCCUCUGCCAACAGGUGUUCAGGGCUAUGCUGCUGUUUCAAGCAAACCCUCAGCAGAUGUUUCACAUGCUGGCUGUCUGCUGCAGGCUUAACUCCUGUCACAGAGCUUGCAGCCCCAACUCUCAAGGAAUGAAUAAAUUUCAACUACAUUA